rnacentral:tRNA from 1 species
GCUCUCUUAGCUCAGUGGUAGAGCGUGGGAUUGCAGAUCCUAAGGUCUGUCGUUCGAUCCGGCAAGGGAGCU